rnacentral:lncRNA from 1 species
CCCGAUUCGAUUAGUUGUAACGCAACUUCGACUUUUUUUAACUAAGCAUCAUUAACACAAAAAUAGAAUGAAAUUCAUAUUCCAAAAAGAUGAAGGGAUAUACAUCAAAUGUGAGCGACCGACCACUGGGAGAAUACCUAUGUUAAAUCCUAGGUCACCAUUAUUUCAAAAAACAAAAAACCACUAUUCCAAAAAACAAAAAAUGAUCCACCCUCUGUAUGGCUAUCAGCUAGUUAUCAUCAACAGCAUCUUCCUCGUCCACGAGACCUUCCUCGUCGGCUGCCC